ACCUGUUGCGGGUGGCGAUCCAGCGGUGCCCGCGACACCAGACAGAACCACGUGCCACGGGGAACAUCGCGGCACUUCAGGGCGUU
rnacentral:sRNA from 17 species